CGGGGCUGGUACCGAAGAGAUACGGGUUGGGUAAUCAAGUUUUUGACUAGCUCAUGGGUUGGGUAAAAAAAAUUAUGGCUGUCUGUCAGCUAUAAAAUAAAACCAAAAUUACCAUGCAUUGGAAAAUAUGAAGAAAAAUGUGUACAAUACAUUCUGUACCAAAAUAGACCAUCCGUGACUGAGGAAGGACUCUAUCAUUGAUCAGCAGGAACGUGAUGCUUUGGCACACUCAGUGUGUUUGAUUGUGAGUGAGCUUUUAGAAUUUGGGCAACUUGAUUUCUGUCACCAUAAUCUUGUGUGUUUA